UACGUAGGGACCAAGCGUUGUUCGGAUUUACUGGGCGUAAAGGGCGCGUAGGCGGCUUGACAAGUCACUUGUGAAAUCUCCGGGCUUAACUCGGAACGGCCAAGUGAAACUGUCAUGCUAGAGUGCAGAAGGGGCAAUCGGAAUUCUUGGUGUAGCGGUGAAAUGCGUAGAUAUCAAGAGGAACACCUGAGGUGAAGACGGGUUGCUGGGCUGACACUGACUGAGGCGCGAAAGCCGGGGAGCAAACGGGG
rnacentral:rRNA from 1 species